GCAAGAUACCACGGGCGCACGGCGGAUGCCUUGGCACAGGGAGCCGAUGAAGGACGCGGCAAGCUGCGAUAAUCCCCGGCGAGGAGCACACAUCCUUCGACCCGGGGGUCUCCGAAUGGGCGAACCCAUGCACAGCGGUGUGCAUAUCCCCGGCCCGAACACAUAGGGCCGGGGAGGACAACCCGGGGAACUGAAACAUCUAAGUACCCGGAGGAGAGGAAAUCAAUCUCGAGACUCCCCGAGUAGCGGCGAGCGAAAGGGGACCGAUGGCCAAACCGUCGAGCGGGCAUACCCGGCAGGGGUUCCGCCGACGGGGUUGCAGGGCCGCGCAUCCGGGGGCUGCCGCCCCCGGGCGCAGGUCCGGCUGGGGAGCGGAACGGCAUGGGAGGGCCGGCCGCAGCGGGUGACAGCCCCGUACGCGAACCCAGACCGGACGGCGCGACGCGGUCCCUGAGUAGGGCCGGGCACGUGAAACCCGGUCCGAACCUGGGUGGACCACCAUCCAAGCCUGAGUACUACCCUGUGACCGAUAGCGCACCAGUACCGUGAGGGAAAGGUGAAAAGCACCCCGGGAGGGGAGUGAAACAGUACCUGAAACCGUGCGCCCACGAGCAGUCGGAGCACCUUUAUGGUGUGACGGCGUGCCUUUUGUAGAAUGAGCCAGCGAGUCGCUGGCGCGGGGCGAGGUUAACCGAAAGGGAGCCGGAGCGAAAGCGAGCCUUAACAGGGCGACUUGAGUCCCGCGCCGCGGACGCGAAGCCGGGUGAGCUAUCCGUGGGCAGGCUGAAGCGGGGGUAAGACCCCGUGGAGGGCCGAACGCACGUCGGUUGAAAACGGCGGCGAUGACCUGCGGAUAGGGGUGAAAGGCCAAUCAAACCCGGAGAUAUCUCGUUCUCCCCGAAAUAGCUUUAGGGCUAGCGUCGGAAAGAACCUUAGUGAAGGUAGAGCACUGAAUGUGUGAUGGCCCCAUCCCGGGGUACUGAAUACAAUCAAACUGCGAAUGUCAUUAAGGAUGUCCGGCAGUCAGACUGUGAGUGAUAAGGUCCAUGGUCAAGAGGGAAACAGCCCAGACCGCCAGCUAAGGUCCCAAAAUUCUGGCUAAGUGGAAAAGGAUGUGGGGAUGCACAGACAACUAGGAGGUUGGCUCAGAAGCAGCCAUCCUUUAAAGAGUGCGUAACAGCUCACUAGUCGAGUGACCCUGCGCCGAAAAUGUACCGGGGCUAAGCCAGGUACCGAAGCUGCGGAUAUUCCUAGAAUAUGGUAGGGGAGCGUUGCAUGUGGGGUGAAGCCGUAUCGUGAGGAGCGGUGGACAGCAUGGAAGUGAGAAUGCCGGUGUGAGUAGCGAGAUGUAGGUGAGAAUCCUACACACCGAAAGCCCAAGGAUUCCAGGGGAAGGUUCGUCCGCCCUGGGUAAGUCGGGACCUAAGGCGAGGCCGAAAGGCGUAGUGGAUGGAAAGCAGGCGAAAGAUUCCUGCACCCGUAUAUGGAGCGAAGGAGUGACGGAGACGGAUAGUGUGACCCUCUUAAUGGAUUGAGGGCGAAGCGAAGCGGCUGGUUACCAGGCAAAUCCGGUAACCAAAAGGCUAGAGCGUGACAGGUAAGCGAAAUCUUCGGAAAGUAGCGAAGCACAUGAUGACGGCUUCCAGGAAAAGCUUCUGGCAAUGCAUAUGCGGCCCGUACCAAAACCGACACAGGUGGGCAGGGAGAGAAUCCCGAGGUGAGCGAGAGAACUGUUGCCAAGGAACUCGGCAAAAUGACUCCGUAAGUUAGCGAGAAGGAGUGCUUAAGCAAUUAAGCCGCAGUGAAGAGGCCCAAGCGACUGUUUAACUAAAACACAGCUCUCUGCGAAGUCGCAAGACGAAGUAUAGGGGGUGACACCUGCCCGGUGCUGGAAGGUUAAGAGGAUCUGUUAAGAGCGAUCUGAAGCAGUGAUCCGAAGCCCCAGUGAACGGCGGCCGUAACUAUAACGGUCCUAAGGUAGCGAAAUUCCUUGUCAGGUAAGUUCUGACCCGCACGAAAGGUGUAACGAUUUGGGCGCUGUCUCGGCAGCAGACUCGGUGAAAUCUUAGUACCUGUGAAAAUGCAGGUUACCCGCAACUAGACGGAAAGACCCCAUGGAGCUUUACUGCAGCCUGAUAUUGAAUUCUGGUCAUACAUGUACAGGAUAGGUGGGAGACAAAGAGACGUGCACGCCAGUGUACGAGGAGUCGCCGUUGGGAUACCACUCUUGUGUGACCGGGGUUCUAACCUGGUAUCGAGAACAGGUACGGGGAGAGUGUCAGGUGGGCAGUUUGACUGGGGCGGUCGCCUCCCAAAGAGUAACGGAGGCGCCCAAAGGUACGCUCAGAUUGGAUGGAAACCAAUCGUCGAGUGCAAUUGCAGAAGCGUGCUUGACUGUGAGACAGACAAGUCGAACAGGGACGAAAGUCGGGAAUAGUGAUCCGGCGGUGCCGAAUGGAAGGGCCGUCGCUCAACGGAUAAAAGCUACCCUGGGGAUAACAGGCUGAUCUCGCCCAAGAGUUCACAUCGACGGCGAGGUUUGGCACCUCGAUGUCGGCUCAUCGCAUCCUGGAGCUGGAUUCGGUUCCAAGGGUUGGGCUGUUCGCCCAUUAAAGCGGUACGCGAGCUGGGUUCAGAACGUCGUGAGACAGUUCGGUCCCUAUCUGUCGUGGGCGCAGGAAAUUUGAGAAGAGCUGUCCUCAGUACGAGAGGACCGGGAUGGACGCAUCAAUGGUGGACCAGUUGUCACGCCAGUGGCAUAGCUGGGUAGCUAAAUGCGGAAGGGAUAAACGCUGAAGGCAUCUAAGUGUGAAACCCACUUCAAGAUGAGAUUUCCCAUUGCGCAAGCAAGUAAGACCCCUUAAAGACGAUAAGGUAGAUAGGCCAGAGAUGGAAGUGUAGAGAUACAUGGAGUUGACUGGUACUAAUCGGUCGAGGACUUAAUCAG
rnacentral:rRNA from 1 species